rnacentral:rRNA from 1 species
GGAGGAAAAGAAACCAACAGGGAUUGCCUCAGUAACGGCGAGUGAAGCGGCAACAGCUCAAAUUUUAAAGCUGGCGUCCUCGACGCCCGCGUUGUAAUUUGGAGAGGCAUCUUCGGUUUGGGCGCCAGCCUAUGUUCCUUGGAACAGGACGUCACAGAGGGUGAGAAUCCCGUGCUUGGCUGGCUGUCCCUCUCCAUGUGAAGUGUCUUCGACGAGUCGAGUUGUUUGGGAAUGCAGCUCAAAAUGGGUGGUAAAUUUCAUCUAAAGCUAAAUAUUGGCGGGAGACCGAUAGCGCACAAGUAGAGUGAUCGAAAGAUGAAAAGCACUUUGAAAAUAGAGUUAAAAAGUACGUGAAAUUGUUGAAAGGGAAGCGCUUGAGACCAGACUCGGCCGGAGACGAUCAGCGGUCCUUUUGGGCCGUGCACUCGUCCUCGGUUGGGCCAGCAUCGGUUGAGACGGUGGGAUAAAGGUCUGGGGAAUGUGGCUCCUUUCGGGGAGUGUUAUAGCCCCGGGCGCAAUGCCGCCAGCCUCGACCGAGGACCGCGCUCUUUUGCUAGGAUGCUGGCGUAAUGGUCUUCAGCGACCCGUCUUGAAACACGGACCAAGGAGUCUAACAUCUAUGCGAGUGUUUGGGUGUCAAACCCUUGCGCGUAAUGAAAGUGAACGUGGGUGGGAACCUCUCGUAAGGGGGGCGCACCAUCGACCGAUCCUGAUGUCUUCGGAUGGAUUUGAGUAGGAGCAUAGCUGUUGGGACCCGAAAGAUGGUGAACUAUGCCUGAAUAGGGUGAAGCCAGAGGAAACUCUGGUGGAGGCUCGCAGCGGUUCUGACGUGCAAAUCGAUCGUCAAAUUUGGGUAUAGGGGCG